GCCUACAUUUGCUAAAUACCCAAAAGACACUAGACCUCUCCCCUCACCUUGAAAAUGAAACAGGUUAAACCUGGUUAGUGCUUGGAUGGGAGACCACCAAUGAAUACCAGGUGCUAUAGGCU
rnacentral:rRNA from 11 species